rnacentral:rRNA from 1 species
AUUGAACGCUGGCGGCAGGCUUAACACAUGCAAGUCGAGCGGGGUGAUGGUGCUUGCACUAUCACUUAGCGGCGGACGGGUGAGUAAUGCUUAGGAAUCUGCCUAUUAGUGGGGGACAACAUCUCGAAAGGGAUGCUAAUACCGCAUACGUCCUACGGGAGAAAGCAGGGGAUCACUUGUGACCUUGCGCUAAUAGAUGAGCCUAAGUCGGAUUAGCUAGUUGGUGGGGUAAAGGCCUACCAAGGCGACGAUCUGUAGCGGGUCUGAGAGGAUGAUCCGCCACAAUGGGACUGAGACACGGCCCAGACUCCUACGGGAGGCAGCGGUGGGGAAUAUUGGACAAUGGGGGGAACCCUGAUCCAGCCAUGCCGCGUGUGUGAAGAAGGCCUUAUGGUUGUAAAGCACUUUAAGCGAGGAGGAGGCUACUUUAGUUAAUACCUAGAGAUAGUGGACGUUACUCGCAGAAUAAGCACCGGCUAACUCUGUGCCAGCCGCCGCUGUAA